rnacentral:tRNA from 1 species
GCUUUCAUGGUGUAAAGAAAACAUGCCGACUUACUGAGUAAGUAGGAGAUCUGGGUUUGAUUCCCAGUGAGAGUG